UCUAAAGAUCAAAGACAUUUGUAAUUCAACCAUCCCCACAUUACAGGAAAGAGAUUUUGGAGAAAUUUGUUCAGAGGCCUGAGAACCCUUGAAGGAGAACAAACUCAAUUGUAACACGCUUUCCUGAAACAUGGCACUACAGAAGAAUGCAGUGCUUAACAUAUCAAUGAAAAACACGGCCAGACAGCCAAUAUUCGGCCAAAAUCAUUGGAGGGGCCUUAAACAGCUUUCGCUUUUCAUUUAACGAGGAAGUAACAACUUGACGCAGUCUCCUAAACCUGUUAACGCUCGUGAACGACUGCGAUGUUAACCAACAGAUAUUCAUCGUGUUUGCACCAGGAAUCUCGAAGUGCAAUCUUUGCUAUUGAUAGACAAGUAAAUGCUAACAGUUCUCAGGAUAGAAUUAACAGAACGACGCCAGACAUAUGGAUACUACAUUGAUAUUCUUGUUAAUUAUUAAAAAUACCACUAAGGCUGUGAAUGUGACGGAGUGAGAGUCAGUGUCUCUGAACUGCACCAUUGGUGGCGAUGGAAGUUAUACUUGGGAACGCCGGGAUGGAAUCGAGAUCGAAAACGCGAAAAGACAGGUUAAAGGUGGGGGACGACUGCUUGAAAUAAAGAACACGACCAUUAUAGAUUCUGGUGCCUACACCUGCAAAAUAGGAAAAAACUCUCACACCAUGAUACUGCAGGUUGUAGUUCAAGUCAAGGUGGAAAUGGCCUUGAAGGUUGAAAAUUACAACUACACAAUAGAACUGGAGAAUAAGUCAUCGCCACAAUACAAGGAAAUCGAGGAAAAUCUUACCGCUGAG
rnacentral:lncRNA from 1 species